AUGGAGCUGCCCCCGCCUGGAUCCGGCCCCUGGCAGCCGCCCCCGGCGCUGCCCCACGCUUGGGUUCGGCCGCUGCGUCGCCCCACGCCUGGAUCCGACCGCUGCGCUGCACCCGCCCCUCGAUCCAGCCACCGUCAGCACCCCUCCUCCCCGCACACAAGCGCCGGCGUCCACCGCCAGCCCCAAGCGCGCCGUCCAGGAGCCCCAUCCCCAGACAUCGUCCUUCGUCGUUGGCGCACCAUGGACAUCUUCCUCUUCUGCCUAGAACUUCUUCGUCGUUGGUGCUUGCGUGCGCACGACAGCCACAUGUGGUGUGAGGAGAAGCCAAGCUAA
rnacentral:rRNA from 1 species